rnacentral:misc_RNA from 1 species
GAUGAAGAACGUAGCGAAAUGCGAUACGUAAUGUGAAUUGCAGAAUUCAGUGAAUCAUCGAAUCUUUGAACGCAACUUGCGCUCCUUGGUAUUCCAUGGAGCAUGCCUGUUUGAGAGUCACGUAAACCCUCACCCUUACGACGUUACAAUCGCAUUGUGGUGGAUUUGGAUUGUGCCGUAAUUGGCUCAUCCUGAAAUGCAUUAGCUUGUGCUUUUUACAGUGCUCGGCAUGGUGUGAUAAUUAUCUGCGCCAUCGCCUUAGGCCUGUUCUAUAUGUGCAGCUUCUAAUCGUCCCUUGUGGACAACUUACUUAACACUUUGGCCUCAAAUCAGGUAGGACUACCCGCUGAACUUAAGCAUAUCAAUAAGCGGAGGA